rnacentral:rRNA from 1 species
UACAGAGGGUGCGAGCGUUGUUCGGAAUUACUGGGCGCAAAGCGCGCGCAGGCGGCCUUUUAAGUCUCGUGGUGAAAUGCCGGGGCUCAACCCCGUGCCCGCCGGAGAUACUGGGAGGCUGGAGACAUGUAGAGGCAAGCGGAAUUCCGGGUGUAGCGGUGGAAUGCGUAGAGAUCCGGAAGAACACCGGAGGCGAAGGCGGCUUGCUGGGCAUUGUCUGACGCUGAGGCGCGAAAGCGUGGGGAGCGAACAGG